AUGGGAGCCAGAGCAAGCGUCAGAGUGUGUGAUACGUGGGGAGCACAGCCGCAGUCCCGUGGGUUCGUGCUUUUGUUUAGAGCUUUUCUUUUCUGGAGAUUCAUUGUGCUCAUAAAAAGUACUGGGGGGCCGUGCUCUGUGUGCCCCGCCCCCCACGGCCGUGCUCUGUGUGCUGCCCCUCACGGCCUGUGUGCUGUGUGCCGCCCUCCACGGCCCGGCCCGUGCUCUGUGUGCCGCCCUCCACGGCCCGUGCUCUGUGUGCCGCCCUCCACGGCCCGUGCUCUGUGUGCCGCCCUCCACGGCCUGUGCUCUGUGUGCCCCCCACGGCCCGUGCUCUGUGUGCCGCCCUCCACGGCCGUGCUCUGUGUGCCACCCUCCACGGCCGUGCUCUGUGUGCCACCCUCCACGGCCGUGCUCUGUGUGCCACCCUCCACGGCCUGUGCUCUGUGUGCCACCCUCCACGGCCCGUGCUCUGUGUGCCCCCCACGGACCGUGCUCUGUGUGCCAACCUCAACGACCCGUGCUCAGUGUGCCCCCCAAAAAACAUGGCUCUGUUGUGUCACCCUCACAUACCGAGUUCUGUGGUAAUCUCAU
rnacentral:lncRNA from 1 species